rnacentral:snoRNA from 1 species
AUAAGGCUUAGUUAGGAGGCAUAAAUCAAUCUUGAUCAUCAAUACUUGUCUGUAUUGUUUUGAUCUAUUUGACUUGAGGUCUUUUGAGGAGGAGCUUUGCUUCUGCUUAGAAUCUAGCUUCUCCCAAGCAGCUUCAGACAUAU